AUACGGAGGGUGCAAGCGUUAAUCGGAUUUACUGGGCGUAAAGCGUGCGUAGGCGGCUACGUAAGUCAGUUGUGAAAGCCCCGGGCGUAACCUGGGAACUGCAAUUGAUACUGCGUGGCUAGAAUUCGGUAGAGGAAGGUGGAACUCCAGGUGUAGCGGUGAAAUGCGUAGAUAUCUGGAAGAACAUCAAUGGCGAAGGCAACCCUCUGGGCCUGAAUUGACGCUGAGGUACGAAAGCGUGGGGAGCAAACAGGAUUAGAUACCCUGGUAGUCCACGCCGUAAACGAUGAGUACUUGGUGUCGGGGGAAUCGACCCCUCGGUACCGGAGCUAACGCAUUAAGUACUCCGCCUGGGAACUACGAUCGCAAGGUUAAACUCAAAUGAAUUGACGGGGACCCGCACAAGCGGUGGAGCAUGUGGUUUAAUUCGAAGCUACGCGCAGAACCUUACCAACACUUGACAUGUCUGUCGCGGAUUCCAGAGAUGGAUUCCUUCGGUUCGGCCGGACAGAACACAGGUGC
rnacentral:rRNA from 1 species